rnacentral:rRNA from 1 species
UACGGAGGGGACUAGCGUUGUUCGGAAUUACUGGGCGUAAAGCGCACGUAGGCGGACCUGCAAGUCGGGGGUGAAAGCCCGAGGCUCAACCUCGGAACUGCCUUCGAUACUGCGGGUCUCGAGUCCGGGAGAGGUGAGUGGAAUUCCUAGUGUAGAGGUGAAAUUCGUAGAUAUUAGGAAGAACACCAGUGGCGAAGGCGGCUCACUGGCCCGGUACUGACGCUGAGGCGCGAAAGCGUGGGGAGCAAACAGG